GAAAAAGUUCGAAACGCAACGUUACGAUACGACUCUUCGAUUCUGAAAGCAAAUCGCGAAAGCUUGUCCGCUCUCUUUCUCUCCGAUCGAAAGCAUCUCUCUCUCUCUCUAGGAUCAAGAACGAGAGUGGGCGAAGAGGGAUUAGCUCUCGUGGAGGACUCGAAGAGAGCGAGGAUGCACGACAUCACAUUGGCUUCGAGGAAGGCUGAAGAAGCAGCUUGGAGACGGUAUCAGGGCCGAUGAGUGGCUCCAACGUCCCGCUUGGAUUGCCGCGUCAGCCGUCGGAGAGGGAGUUCUUUUCUUGUUUGAGGAAUGGCCAAUUUCUGUGCAAUGCCAUCAAUAGAAUUCAACCUGGAACUGUGCCCAAGGUGUUGAGUCCAUCUCAUUGAUUAUUCUCUUGCCCUAGAAUUUACAUUUCAGUCGAUCGAGGAAAAGGAGGCGCUUGUUUAUCUAGAGUAGAUGGGAUUUGAGUGUGAUCGUGUUAGCAUUGGACCAUUUUGCACCUCUAUUGAGGUCAAUUGUGUUGGAAGAUACGCGCGAGUUGUGCAAUAUUCUUUGAGAUUGAGAUUGAUAUGUUAGAUCAAUCAACGUCAAUCCAAUAUUGGAAUUGAUUUUAUAAUAUACUUUAUUUCAUUUUCUUGUACAUGUCUAGUGCUAUAAUUGUAGAGCAUUGUGCAUUGGAUCAAU